rnacentral:rRNA from 1 species
UACAGAGGGGGCAAGCGUUGUCCGGAAUUACUGGGCGUAAAGCGCGCGCAGGCGGCCCGCGAGGUGUCACGUGAAAGCCCCGGGCUCAACCCGGGAGGGUCGUGGCAAACCGGCGGGCUUGAGGCCGGUAGAGGUGGGUGGAACUCCUGGUGGAGUGGUGAAAUGCGUAGAGAUCAGGAAGAACACCCGUGGCGAAGGCGGCCCACUGGGCCGGUACUGACGCUGAGGCGCGAAGGCGUGGGGAGCGAACGGG